CGAGUGCAUAAUGAAUGGCUUGAGAUUUAAUUUUAUAUAUAGCUCAUUAAUCUUUUCUUCCUCUUUCUCUUGAUGGAAAAGGAGUAUGAUACACUUAAGCAGCUUGCGCAACUAGUACAAAUGGCUCCUUGAUAUAAACUUUUGAUCCAUGUUUGAUUUCAAUAAGUUUGUGCCAUGGAUCAACCUUUAUACCAUUGUUGGUAUCAAAUCAUUGGCACUUAAAUAGAAUGACACUAUUACUUCC
rnacentral:lncRNA from 1 species